UUGGAACAAAUAAUAAUGACAGAAAUGUAUGAACAAGAAUGAAAGAUGAGGAAAGAUUUCCCUCCAUUCCUGAAGAAGAACCGCAACAAAUAUCAUUUUGUGUUCUGUACAGGUCACAGCACUUGGGAUCUUACUGUGGAAAGAAUGUGAGGGAGAAGCAAUUCCAAAGCUUCCUGGGGGUUAAUAGCACCACUGGAUCCAGUUCAUUGUCAGUAUUGCAUCUGCACCUGGGGAGAGAAGUCUCUUACUGAAGCUGCCCCUGAAGGGAGAUGCACAGAUCUUGUUCCAGCAUCACUUCUAUAUUUAGACUCAGAGGUUUUUGUUUGGUGUUAUCACUGUGGGUAUGGAUCAUGUUAAUAUCGAGUUACAUGUGCAUAUGGGUAGGACAGCAUAUGCUCAAUACUGGCUUUCUGUUGAGCUCCAGAGGCAAAGCUCAUAUCUGAGCACUUACAGAAGAGGAAACCACAGCUCCUAAAGUCACCUGAGGGAGUCUGUGUUUGCAGUUACAUACAGCAUCGUUUGGCUCAGGAGCUAUUCCAACUUCAUGUGAUAAUUUGAGGUGACAUUUCCAAUGCUGUGGAAGAAAAACCACUUUCCUGGACAAAAAAAGAAAGAACAGGAAAAAAAAAUAUCAACGCAUAUCAGCAUGAGUAAAUGAAAUGAAUGAUUCCAGUAUUUUUUUUAAAGGUUGUUCCUAUGAAUAAACCAUUUCUGAAAUUGUAGUUUAUCA
rnacentral:lncRNA from 1 species